CUCGCGGGGCUUAGCGUUACAACGGCGAGUGAAGCGGCAAAAGCUCAAAUUUGAAAUCUGGCACCUUCGGUGUCCGAGUUGUAAUUUGAAGAAGGUAACUUUGGAGUUGGCUCUUGUCUAUGUUCCUUGGAACAGGACGUCACAGAGGGUGAGAAUCCCGUGCGAUGAGAUGCCCAAUUCUAUGUAAAGUGCUUUCGAAGAGUCGAGUUGUUUGGGAAUGCAGCUCUAAGUGGGUGGUAAAUUCCAUCUAAAGCUAAAUAUUGGCGAGAGACCGAUAGCGAACAAGUACAGUGAUGGAAAGAUGAAAAGAACUUUGAAAAGAGAGUGAAAAAGUACGUGAAAUUGUUGAAAGGGAAGGGCUUGAGAUCAGACUUGGUAUUUUGCGAUCCUUUCCUUCUUGGUUGGGUUCCUCGCAGCUUACUGGGCCAGCAUCGGUUUGGAUGGUAGGAUAAUGACUAAGGAAUGUGGCUCUACUUCGGUGGAGUGUUAUAGCCUUGGUUGAUACUGCCUGUCUAGACCGAGGACUGCGUCUUUUGACUAGGAUGUUGGCAUAAUGAUCUUAAGCCACCCGUCUGAAAAACAGGGACCAAAAAAAAAAAACCCGGAAAAAGUUUUUUUUUAUUUUUUUUAUUUUUUUUUUUUUAAUAAAUGUUUAAAAGAUUUGCAAUUAGGUUUAAUUUUAAGCGGUGAUGCUAUG
rnacentral:rRNA from 1 species